rnacentral:tRNA from 1 species
AGAGAUUUAGGUUAACCUAAACCAAGAGCCUUCAAAGCCCUAAAAAGGGGUAGAACCCCUAAUCUCUG